AGUGGAGAAAGAGAAUAGACAAAGAUAUAUAAGGCCAACUUUCGACCCUAUAUAUCUUUGUCUAUUCUCUUUCUCCACUUUCUGAC